rnacentral:rRNA from 1 species
AUUGAACGCUGGCGGCAGGCCUAACACAUGCAAGUCGAGCUAGCGGCGGACGGGUGAGUAAUGUCUGGGAAACUGCCUGAUGGCGGGGGAUAACUACUGGAAACGGUAGCUAAUACCGCGUACCAUCGACUGUGCCCAGAUGGGAUUAGCUUGUAGGUGAGGUAACGUCUCAUCUAGGCGACGAUCCCUAGCUGGUCUGAGAGGAUGACCAGCCACACUGGAACUGCGACACGGUCCAGACUCCUACGGGAGGCAGCAGUGGGGAAUAUUGCACAAUGGGUGAAAGCCUGAUGCAGCCAUGCCGCGUGUAUGAAGAAGGCCGUCGGGUUGUAAAGUACUUGCAGCGGGGAGGCGUUACCCGCAGAAGAAGCACCGGCUAACUCCGUGCCAGCAGCCGCGGUAAUAC